rnacentral:tRNA from 1 species
GGAAAUAUGGUUGAGUGGUUCAAGGUGUAGCAUUGGAGCUGCUAUGUAGGAUUGUGCUUAUUGAGGGUUCAAAUCCCUCUCUUUCCC